GGACACGUAGCUCAGUUGGUUAGAGCGCUUCCUUGACAUGGAAGAGGUCAGAGAUUCGAGUUCUCUCGCGUCCA
rnacentral:tRNA from 1 species